UACAGAGGUGCUCAAGCGUUUGUUCGGAUUCAUUGGGCGUAAAGGGUGCGUAGGCGGCGCGGUGAAGUCGGGUGUGAAAUCGUCGGGCUUAACUCCGAAACUGCAUUCGAUACUGCCGUGCUUGAGGACUGGAGAGGAGACGUGGAAAUUUACGGUGUAGCGGUGAAAUGCGUAGAUAUCGUAAGGAAGACCAGUGGCGA
rnacentral:rRNA from 1 species